rnacentral:rRNA from 1 species
CGCUGGCGGCGUGCUUAACACAUGCAAGUCGAACGAUGAACCACUUCGGUGGGGAUUAGUGGCGAACGGGUGAGUAACACGUGGGCAAUCUGCCCUUCACUCUGGGACAAGCCCUGGAAACGGGGUCUAAUACCGGAUAACACUUCCACUCUCCUGGGUGGAGGUUAAAAGCUCCGGCGGUGAAGGAUGAGCCCGCGGCCUAUCAGCUUGUUGGUGAGGUAAUGGCUCACCAAGGCGACGACGGGUAGCCGGCCUGAGAGGGCGACCGGCCACACUGGGACUGAGACACGGCCCAGACUCCUACGGGAGGCAGCAGUGGGGAAUAUUGCACAAUGGGCGAAAGCCUGAUGCAGCGACGCCGCGUGAGGGAUGACGGCCUUCGGGUUGUAAACCUCUUUCAGCAGGGAAGAAGCGAAAGUGACGGUACCUGCAGAAGAAGCGCCGGCU